GGGGAUUUAGCUCAGUGGUAGAGCGCUUGCCUAGGAAGCACAAGGUCCUGGGUUCAGUUCCCAGCUCCG
rnacentral:tRNA from 1 species